rnacentral:lncRNA from 1 species
CGCCUGUCUGAGCGGGAGCCACGGCAGGUUCUUGGGAGGUAAAACCCCUGAGAAGGAAGUUAAAAAAACAAAAUAAAAUCAGAACUGCAGUGACUGCGGGAAGAAAGGGAAGUGGAACAGACGGGAUUUUCACGGAAAUUACCUGGGCGAAAGAGAGGGAGGAGUGAGUGCAGGUGCAAGAGAUGCGGAUGCGCUGGAUGGUGGGAGGAAACAGGAGCUCCGUGUCUUCAAGAAAGGCAGAAGAGUCGGCGAUAAAAAGGAGUCAGACAGGUACACAUACACACACGGUGGCUGAAACCACUUAUCGCAAGCAGGGUCGCGGCAAGCCGGAGCCUAACCCGGCAACACAGGGAGCAAGGCUGGAGGGGGAGGGAACGCUCCCAGGAUGGGAUGCCGGUCCGUGACAAGGCACCCCAAGCGGGACUCGAACCCCAAACCCACUGGAGAGCAGGACCCGCCCAAGACUGCUGCUGCACCACCGCAUCGCCCUUUGUGUGGUGACAGCUGUUGCUCAGCAUGGGAAUCUUCUAGAGCUCGAGGGGAGGGCCACGCUGACAGAUUGAGGUUCUCUGGUGACUUUACUCCAUGUUCUCGCUACAUUCGGCAAAUCAACAAGGAGCUGCGCUGCGUCACAUCGCCAAGAAGCAGCCUUGCCCUGGAUAUGUCACUGUUCCUUCUGCAAGUUAUAACCAUUCCAAAUGUUUUGUAACACUAAUAAUGUUCCCUUUUAAACGAUAAGCUGGAAUAAUUAAACAUUGCAAAUGUUUCUUGGGAAAUAUUUUCGAUGAGGGGGAAAAGGUGGUGCAGCGGGUUUUGCCGGGGCACGGUUUGAAUCUGGCUCAGUCUGUGCGGGAUGUCUGUGUUCACGGUCCAAAGACGUGAUCUGGGGAAACUGGUGGCUCCAAUCUGCCCGUGGAAGGUACAUGUGUGAGUGGGUUGGAGUGUAUGAUUGCCCUGAAAUGGACUGGCAUCUUUUGCGGGGUGUACCACGCGUUGCGCCUCGACCCUGCAUCCGGAUAAGCGAUAAACAGUAGUGGACGGAUGGACAUGCAUAAUACAUAAUAUUUUGAAGAAACAAAGAUCUAAACACUUAAUUGGUGUAUAGAUGAGUGGCUCAUUGCACAUCAGUGAAUCUAGUGUAUGCAGCAGUGUAAGUCACCUACGGUGAAAGGCUGUGGGCUGAUUACAUGGCGUUCACUGGAAGUCAUCUUGUACUAAAAUAUCUGCCUAAUGAAUAAACGUCAGGGCGAAUAUUGGACA